CCUACGGGAGGCAGCAGUGAGGAAUAUUGCGCAAUGGGCGAAAGCCUGACGCAGCGACACCGCGUGGGUGAUGAAGGCCUUCGGGUCGUAAAGCCCUGUCAGAGGGGACGAAGUUCUGACGGUACCCUCAGAGGAAGCCCCGGCCAACUACGUGCCAGCAGCCGCGGUAAUACGUAGGGGGCAAGCGUUACUCGGAAUCACUGGGCGUAAAGAGCUCGUAGGUGGGUAGAUAAGUCAUACAGUAAAGCCAACAGCUCAACUGUUGUUCUCUGUAUGAUACUGUUGGCCUUGAGGACAGGAGAGGGGAGUGAAAUUCCUGGUGUAGCGGUAAAAUGCGUAGAUAUCAGGAAGAACACCGGUGGCGAAGGCGGCUCCCUGGUCUUUUCCUGACACUGAGGAGCGAAAGCUGGGGGAGCGAACGGGAUUAGAUCCCCGGGUAGU
rnacentral:rRNA from 1 species